UUUUUUUAUUACACCGUUCGAUCGUGUUGCUAACAAGGAACAAAUUCUGCGAAGUAACUAUAUUGGUUAUAUAAC